GAUGAACGCUGGCGGCGUGCCUAAUACAUGCAAGUCGAGCGAACAGACGAGGCGCUUGCUCCUCUGACGUUAGCGGCGGAGGGGUGAGUAACACGUGGAUAACCUACCUAUAAGACUGGGAUAACUUCGGGAAACCGGAGCUAAUACCGGAUAAUAUAUUGAACCGCAUGGUUCAAUAGUGAAAGACGGUUUUGCUGUCACUUAUAGAUGGAUCCGCGCCGCAUGAGCUAGUAGGUAAGGUAACGGCUUACCAAGGCAAGGAUGCGUAGCCGACCUGAGAGGGUGAUAGGCGGCACGGGAGCGGAGACACGGUCUAGACUCCUAAGGGAGGCCGCAGUAGGGAAUCUGCCGCAAUGGGCGAAAGCCUGACGGAGCAACGCCGCGUGUGUGAUGAAGGUCUUCGGAUCGUAAAACUCUGUUAUUAGUGAAGAACAAAUGUGUAAGGAACUAUGCACGUCUUGACGGUACCUAAUCAGAAAGCCACGGCUAACUACGUG
rnacentral:rRNA from 1 species